rnacentral:rRNA from 1 species
UACGGGAGGCAGCAGUAAGGAAUAUUGGUCAAUGGAGGCAACUCUGAACCACCCAUGCCGCGUGCAGGAAGACAGCCCUAUGGGUCGUAAACUGCUUUUAUACGGGAAUAAACCUUGAUUCGUGAAUUAAGCUGAAUGUACCGUAAGAAUAAGGGUCGGCUAACUCUGUGCCAGCAGCCGCGGUAAUAUGGAGGAUCCAAGCGUUAUCCGGAUUUAUUGGGUUUAAAGGGAGCGUAGGCGGCCUAUUAAGUCAGGGGUGAAAGACGGUGGCUCAACCAUCGCAGUGCCUUUGAUACUGAUAGGCUUGAAUGUAGUUGAGGUAGGCGGAAUGUGACAAGUAGCGGUGAAAUGCAUAUAUAUGUCACAGAACACCGAUUGCGAAGGCAGCUUACUAAGCUUUUAUUGACGCUGAGGCUCAAAAGCGUGGGGAUCAAACAGGAUUAGAUACCCUGGUAGUCCACGCUCUAAACGAUGAUAACUCGAUGUUGGCG